rnacentral:rRNA from 1 species
GACGAACGCUGGCGGCGUGCUUAACACAUGCAAGUCGAACGGAAAGGCCCUGCUUUUGUGGGGUGCUCGAGUGGCGAACGGGUGAGUAACACGUGAGUAACCUGCCCUUGACUUUGGGAUAACUUCAGGAAACUUGGGCUAAUACCGGAUAGGAGCUCCUGCUGCAUGGUGGGGGUUGGAAAGUUUCGGCGGUUGGGGAUGGACUCGCGGCUUAUCAGCUUGUUGGUGGGGUAGUGGCUUACCAAGGCUUUGACGGGUAGCCGGCCUGAGAGGGUGACCGGCCACAUUGGGACUGAGAUACGGCCCAGACUCCUACGGGAGGCAGCAGUGGGGAAUAUUGCACAAUGGGCGGAAGCCUGAUGCAGCAACGCCGCGUGCGGGAUGACGGCCUUCGGGUUGUAAACCGCUUUCGCCUGUGACGAAGCGUGAGUGACGGUAAUGGGUAAAGAAGCACCGGCUAACUACGUG